rnacentral:rRNA from 1 species
AGAGUUUGAUCAUGGCUCAGGAUGAACGCUGGCGGCAUGCCUAAGACAUGCAAGUCGAACGCGAAGGCCCACAGAAAGCUGCGUGCUUGCACAAAGCUGGAAGUGGAUUUUCCUUCGAGUGGCAAACGGGUGAGUAACACGUGGGUUACCUACCUUUAUGUUGGGGAUAACAGUUGGAAACGAUUGCUAAUACCGAAUGUGCUCUACGGAGUAAAGGAGCCUUUAAAGCUUCGCAUAAAGAUGGGCCUGCGGCGCAUUAGCUUGUUGGUGGGGUAAUGGCCUACCAAGGCAACGAUGCGUAGCCGAGCUGAGAGGUUGAUCGGCCACACUGGGACUGAGACACGGCCCAGACUCCUACGGGAGACAGCAGUUAGGAAUAUUCGUCAAUGGGGGAAACCCUGAACGAGCAAUGCCGCGUGAACGAUGAAGGCCCUCUGGGUUGUAAAGUUCUGUUGUUUGGAGCGAAUAGCUAGAAGAGGAAAUGCUUUUAGUCUGACGGUACCAUUCAAGAAAGCCACGGCUAACUACGUGCCAGCAGCCGCGGUAAUACGUAGGUGGCGAGCGUUAUCCGGAUUUAUUGGGCGUAAAGCGUGCGCAGGCGGUUUGUUAAGUCUAAAAUUAAAGUCCGAAGCUUAACUUCGGUUCGUUUUAGAAACUGGCAGGCUUGAGUAUGGUAGAGGCAAACGGAAUUUCUAGUGUAGCGGUAAAAUGCGUAGAUAUUAGAAGGAACACCAGUGGCGAAGGCGGUUUGCUGGGCCAUUACUGACGCUCAUGCACGAAAGCGUGGGGAGCAAAUAGGA